UACAGAGGUCUCAAGCGUUGUUCGGAUUCAUUGGGCGUAAAGGGCGCGUAGGCGGUGCGGUAAGUCACUUGUGAAAUCUCCGAGCUUAACUCGGAACGGCCAAGUGAUACUGCAGUACUAGAGUGCGGAAGGGGCAAUCGGAAUUCUUGGUGUAGCGGUGAAAUGCGUAGAUAUCAAGAGGAACACCUGAGGUGAAGACGGGUUGCUGGGCCGACACUGACGCUGAGGCACGAAGGCCAGGGGAGCAAACGGG
rnacentral:rRNA from 1 species